ACUCCAGCUCUCCUCCUCACCCUCCCACCCCAGCAGUCUAUUGUCUGUUGAGGAAGCCCAAGUGCACGUGACUGAGCCCAAGGGACGAAUGGAUACAGUGGACUCCCAGAUGCAUAAGGACCCAGGACAGGGUAUCUGGACAUGGCUGUGUGAAUGUUUGGCUUGCUCUGUUCCAGCAGCUCUCCCAGAAGUUGGGAGGGGUGAAGAUCCCCUUGGGCUGUCCAUUCUUGGGUCCAUGGCUUGAAGAAGAAUCCCCUUCUGCUCACUAUGAACACGGCUUAUGACCUCGCAGAGAGCAAAGAUAAGGAGACCCAGAGCCAGGAAAAGGCUGCAGCCCCCAGGAUCCUCUCCACCUUCCCAUCCUCCCUCAGCUGAACAUGGCAGCCUCAGAAGGAAAGGGCUUCACUGAAGAUGAUGAUUUGCUCAAAGAGGAAGACACGCCUCUCUCGACCUCGGGAAGACAGCAGCCCUCCAGCCUCAGGCUCGGUGACCCAGAAAGUGUCCUGGCUCAAGAGCUUCCCCUGAGCAGUCAGUUUGCCCUGAAACCAAAAGGAUAGCGGCCUUGGAAAAAGAACAAGAAAAAGGACAAUUCUCUGCUCCUCCCUUCCUUGCCUGACAUGCCCAACCAACCAUGGGGUCAGACCCAGGAGAAGACAACUCCCCAUAAGGACCUCCUGAGUGCUAGGGCUGGGGCAGAAGAGCAUCGGGCCUCCAGUUUCUUGCCCUAUCUCCGUACCUCAAAUCCCCGCAAUCUCCCCAGCGUCAUCAUAUCGUUGCAGCGCUUGGGCACAAAGCACAUGACCUCCACAGCUUGCUGGGACACACACAGUUCACUCAGGACAUACCUAGGAUGAAAAUAGGAGGAGGCCCCCACUUCAGCGUUGGAGCUCAUCCUUGGUUCUGCCCGUUCCUCCCUCCUCUCCUUUAUCAUCAUAGCCAACCUUGGAGGAAAAUCCAUCUAAAAUGUGAGGGACAGUCUUCUGGAAGUUGUGCAACUGCAGGGAAGGGCUGUGGACACUUACAUACUCCUUUCCAGAGCCUUCUUCUUCUGUUCCUCCUCACUCUCAGGGGCUUGGGACAAAGUCUCCUCUUCAGGUGGCUGGAAGGAAAGAACAUCCUAGGGUGAGCAAACGAAUGCCCCUUGAGUGAAAGGAGCCUCCCCAGAGCCUGUCCUCACACCUGUGUCUUAUCUCCAGGGCCCUCCAACAAUGUGGUCAGCAAGGUCAGUUCUGGCAGCUCCUCUCCUGUGGCUAGAGCUGGCUCCAACAACCAGUUCUGGGGGCCAGAAAUCAAGUGUCAGAGGUCAGGGACAGUAGCUGGGUGGCCCCAACUUGCCCUCUCUGCCAGUGUCCUUCAUAGAUGUCCCACAUGCUUUGGUGCCGUCCCCUGCUCACCUCAUAUGGUCCUGCCUGACCACUGUCUGCCUCAGUUUCCACACUGAGACAAUGUUUGGAAUGAUCCAACCAUCUCCUCAGGCCACUGACGGGCCCUGGGGGGCCUGGGGAACAGGGGCCAGAGCUGAGGCCAGAGCUGGGGCCAGAGGGGGCAGCCAGACCGGAGGCAGCAGAAGCCGAUAUACUCCCCUCACUGCCCGCAAUGGAAUAGGAUUCUAAUGGGAGGAAAAAGAGAGGAGGUGAUAGACCUUGCCCCAGCUCCAGACUCACGGCCCCCAGGGAACUCCCAGGGUCUUCUCUUCAUGAUGCUCAGCCUCUCUCUCCAAGGGCUCACUCUCUUGCCAUCCUCAUUUGAGUUGGCCAGGAUAGAAAAUUUCACCAGGGCACCCCUGGGAGAAAGCACAGUAAGGUAAACACCUGGCUCUCCAGGCCUGGAACCCCCAGUUACAUGUGGAGGUUCCCCAUAUCCUGAGCAUAGCAUAGAUAUGGGGGUGGGGGCAGCCAUCUGGGCAGACAUUGGAAGCUGGGGGUGGCCAUCUGCUUUCCUACAACCCUCCCCCUUUCAAUGGGUACAGACCAUUCUCUGUGAAAGGGGGAGGAUGAGCUGGGUCCAUCUGCCACUCCCAGUCCCCUCCUCCACCAAUUGCAGUAAUCACUAUAAAAAGAAAAGACUUCUGCAGCCCACCUCCCCAACACAUGUGUAGACCCAAUAGAGGAGGCCAGUGAGGAGGGUCCAUCAGGGUUAUCUUUGGCCUGUGCUCAGCGACAGAGAGCUGUGAUUCCUUACAAAGCCCCUUGUAGAACCA
rnacentral:antisense_RNA from 1 species